GAUGAACGCUGGCGGCGUGCCAAUACAUGCAAGUCGAGCGAACCACUUCGGUGGUGAGCGGCGAACGGGUGAGUAACACGUAGGUGAUCUGCCCAUCAGACGGGAACAACGAUUGGAAACGAUCGCUAAUACCGGAUAGGACGAAAGUUUAAAGGUGCUUCUGGCACCGCUGAUGGAUGAGCCUGCGGCGCAUUAGCUAGUUGGUAGGGUAAAGGCCUACCAAGGCGACGAUGCGUAGCCGACCUGAGAGGGUGAACGGCCACACUGGGACUGAGACACGGCCCAGACUCCUACGGGAGGCAGCAGUAGGGAAUCUUCGGCAAUGGGCGAAAGCCUGACCGAGCAACGCCGCGUGAAUGAUGAAGGCCUUCGGGUUGUAAAAUUCUGUUAUAAGGGAAGAACGACUUUAGUAGGAAAUGGCUAGAGUGUGACGGUACCUUAUGAGAAAGCCACGGCUAACUACGUGCCAGCCGCCGCUGUAA
rnacentral:rRNA from 1 species